ACGGGAGGCAGCAGUGGGGAAUAUUGCACAAUGGGGGAAACCCUGAUGCAGCGACGCCGCGUGAGUGAAGAAGUAUUUCGGUAUGUAAAGCUCUAUCAGCAGGAAAGAAAAUGACGGUACCUGACUAAGAAGCCCCGGCUAACUACGUGCCAGCAGCCGCGGUAAUACGUAGGGGGCAAGCGUUAUCCGGAUUUACUGGGUGUAAAGGGAGCGUAGACGGCUUUGCAAGUCUGAAGUGAAAGCCCGGGGCUCAACCCCGGAACUGCUUUGGAAACUGUAGAGCUAGAGUGCAGGAGAGGUAAGUGGAAUUCCUAGUGUAGCGGUGAAAUGCGUAGAUAUUAGGAGGAACACCAGUGGCGAAGGCGGCUUACUGGACUGUAACUGACGUUGAGGCUCGAAGGCGUGGGGAGCAAACAGGAUUAGAUACCCUGGUA
rnacentral:rRNA from 3 species